ACUCCUACGGGAGGCAGCAGUGAGGAAUAUUGGACAAUGGGCGCAAGCCUGAUCCAGCCAUGCCGCGUGCAGGAAGACUGCCCUAUGGGUUGUAAACUGCUUUUAUACAGGAAGAAACACUCCCUCGAGUAGGGAGCUUGACGGUACUGUAAGAAUAAGGAUCGGCUAACUCCGUGCCAGCAGCCGCGGUAAUACGGAGGAUCCAAGCGUUAUCCGGAAUCAUUGGGUUUAAAGGGUCCGUAGGUGGAUAAUUAAGUCAGAGGUGAAAGUCUGCGGCUCAACCGUAGAAUUGCCUUUGAUACUGGUUAUCUUGAAUUAUUAUGAAGUAGUUAGAAUAUGUAGUGUAGCGGUGAAAUGCAUAGAUAUUACAUAGAAUACCAAUUGCGAAGGCAGAUUACUAAUAAUAUAUUGACACUGAUGGACGAAAGCGUGGGGAGCGAAACAGGAUUAGAUACCCUGGUAGGCUCUG
rnacentral:rRNA from 1 species